rnacentral:misc_RNA from 1 species
GAUGAAGAACGUAGCGAAAUGCGAUAAGUAAUGUGAAUUGCAGAAUUCAGUGAAUCAUCGAGUCUUUGAACGCACAUUGCGCCCCCUGGUAUUCCGGGGGGCAUGCCUGUCCGAGCGUCAUUGCUGCCCUCAAGCACGGCUUGUGUGUUGGGCCCCCGUCCCCGGUUCUCCCCGGGGACGGGCCCGAAAGGCAGCGGCGGCACCGCGUCCGAUCCUCGAGCGUAUGGGGCUUUGUCACCCGCUCUGUAGGCCCGGCCGGCGCCAGCCGACACCCCAACUUUAUUUUCUAAGGUUGACCUCGGAUCAGGUAGGGAUACCCGCUGAACUUAAGCAUAUCAAUAAGCGGAGG